rnacentral:rRNA from 1 species
UACGUAGGGUGCAAGCGUUGUCCGGAAUUAUUGGGCGUAAAGAGCUCGUAGGCGGUCUGUCGCGUCUGCUGUGAAAACUCAGGGCUUAACCCUGAGCUUGCAGUGGGUACGGGCAGACUAGAGUGCGGUAGGGGAGACUGGAAUUCCCGGUGUAGCGGUGAAAUGCGCAGAUAGUCGGGAGGAACACCAGCGGCGAAGGCGGCACUCUGGGCUGGAACUGACGCUGAGACGCGGAAAGGCGUGGGGAGCGAACAGG